AUAAAUAUAACGCACAUACUUGUCCGUAUAUUUGAACUAAGGAGAGAAUGUUCUAAAAAUUCGAGCUUUUAGGAAGACAUGCAUGCUCUAUAUAUGCUGAACGUAUAUAGGUGAAGAAUGCAUAAUGGCCAGAGAGCCUUGAAGAUGAAAGAUAAAUGUUUCACUUGGAAAUUGUGAAAUUCUUUGGAAGUCAUUACAUGGCUUUGUUUACAAUGGUGAGAUUACUUCACACACCAUCGACUGCAUAUGAUAUUAAAUAUUUUUGUCCUCUCCUCACUAAAUACUGAAGCACAACUGUAACUUUCAUCACACUGACAGUAACCACCAUGAAUGAUGCACAACCAAGAUGACAUUACUUUAUUCUUCAUUCCUCUGCCCUAGGAUUCUUUGAAUUCUAAAAGAUCAGUAAGGAGACAUGAAGAAGUUCAAACGCGUGUUCGGCUCCAUAACAAACCUUGCCCAAGAUGACUCUGCAUCACGAGGAGCCCCCCCUCCUGCUGCCCUC